rnacentral:lncRNA from 1 species
GGGGGUUUGACUUUGGAAUAUUCAAAAUGGCCGCCGUUACCAUGGAAACAGCAAAGAUACAAAAAACUUUAAAAUGCUUCAAAUUUAUUGAAACUUAUAAAAAAUGUUGCUCAGCUAAUGUAGACUUGACUUUUGAGUUUGGAAUUUCCAAAAUGGCCGCUGUUACCAUGGCUACCGCUCACCUGGCAAUAGGGGAAGGGUGCCAUCCGCUAUUGCUUGCAAUGGCAAAUCUAGUUAUUUUUAUUAUUCUUCUUCUUCUUCUUUUUCUUCUUUUUCUUCCGCCACUUUUAAAAAUGAACUUGUCCGCAGCGUUUCUCCAAAACCGCUUGUCAGAUUAACUUAGGGUUUCAUAGAAUGUUAGACUAAUAUGUCUAGGUGAGCCAUCAAUCUUUCGUUUGUGCAUUUGGGUCUAUUAAGGGGUAUUUUAGGGGGAAGGAAGAAGGGAGGGGUUUACUAUAGAACCCUAUGGGAUUUUAUUUUCUAAAAUUUUCAAAUGAAUAUAACUUGAAAACCAUAAAUGAUAAACACACACAAUCUUCAGAAAUGAUCAUAGGACAAUAAAACAAAUCACAUGAAAUAUAGGAGGAGUCCCUGGGGGGUCAUCCCCACCCCCUGCAAUUUGAGAAUAUGCUAUUAUCUUGUAAACGGUCCAGAUCCCCACCCCUAAACUAUAUAUAUUCUUGAAUGGGACGAUAAAAAAAAUCAAACGAAAAUUAAAGGGAAGUCCCUAGGGGUCACCCCCAC